AUUGAACGCUGGCGGCAGGCUUAACACAUGCAAGUCGAGCGGAGACUUCGGUCUUAGCGGCGAACGGGUGAGUAAUACCUAGGAAUCUGCCUAUUAGUGGGGGAUAACGAAUCGAAAGGUUCGCUAAUACCGCAUACGUCCUACGGGAGAAAGGGGGGAGUCUUCGGACCUCUCGCUAAUAGAUGAGCCUAGGCCGGAUUAGCUAGUUGGUAGGGUAAAGGACCUACCAAAGGCGGACGAUCUGUAGCUGGUCUGAGAGGAUGGCCAGCCACACUGGAACUGAGACACGGUCCAGACUCCUACGGGAGGCAGCAGUGGGGAAGUAAUUGGACAAUGGGGGCGAACCCUGAUCCAGCCAUGCCGCGUGUGUGAA
rnacentral:rRNA from 1 species